AGGCGGUUAUUUUGGAAGAUGAAAACUUGUGGUGUUACACAAAAAUAUGGAAAAAAACAAUAUCAAGGCAUCUAGACUACUGAUAGACGUUAUCUCGCAGAAAACUGAAAAGAGCAGCAAAGACAGGACAGAACGUAAAAAUCAGCAACUCUGAUGAGAUGGUAAAAAGCAGAUGAACGGGAGAUAAUAAAAUACAGAUGGACGGCUUCUUUGACCGUGAAGAGUUUGCUAUUAGUUAUGGGACGAGGGUAUUCCAAGGAAAUGACAUAUAUGAGUCUUUGAAGCAGUAUGCCAUUCAUUGCCUCAGUAUAGAGAUUCAACAUUUAAUGAUUAUAGGAAUAAAAAGGUGUAGCUCCAGACAGACACUGAAAAGGAAGGCAAAGAUGUUUUCAGACUGAAAUAAAGCCCUAGUUUCUAAAACUAGAAAUAUAUUCCUAACAGCAAGCACGAAUAUUUCCAGAAUUAUUCCCCUUUACUUGUUUACCUGACAUUACCUGUUUUAUUUGCAGGGAUAUCUAUGAAAUGAGCUAUGCACGUACAUUAUGAGUUUUCAAUGUUAUGAUGUGGUGGCAUAGAUGUUUUCACAAAUUUUAAUCUUGUUGUAUGUUCUUGAUUAAUCUAGUCAGCUUUUGUUUGUAAAAAAUAAAAGAAAAAUAAAUAAAAUUUAUCGAGAUAUAUUAUUAUUAUUAUUUUCAUAUUUUUCUCCGGAAUUGACACCGUCAUUGGAACCUGCAUUUAUUCAAAAUCCAUUAGAUAAAUAUAAGCAGACAAGCCUGAUUUGUUAAUGAUUCAUUAAUACAUUGAAUUUCGGUUUAUGGAAGAAGAAAAAAUACAAUUUAUUAGUGAUUCAUUAACAAUUUAUUUGCAAUUCAUUAAUGAAUCAGUUGGUCAGCGAACCUAAUUUAUUGCCAAUUGAUUGACCUGAUUUGUUGAUAAUUCAUUGACUAAGUCAA